rnacentral:rRNA from 1 species
AUUGAACGCUGGCGGCAGGCCUAACACAUGCAAGUCGAACGGUAACAGAAAGCAGCUUGCUGCUUUGCUGACGAGUGGCGGACGGGUGAGUAAUGUCUGGGAAACUGCCUGAUGGAGGGGGAUAACUACUGGAAACGGUAGCUAAUACCGCAUAACGUCGCAAGACCAAAGAGGGGGACCUUCGGGCCUCUUGCCAUCGGAUUUGCCCAGAUGGGAUUAGCUAGUAGGUGGGGUAAAGGCUCACCUAGGCGACGAUCCCUAGCUGGUCUGAGAGGAUGACCAGCCACACUGGAACUGAGACACGGUCCAGACUCCUACGGGAGGCAGCAGUGGGGAAUAUUGCACAAUGGGCGCAAGCCUGAUGCAGCCAUGCCGCGUGUAUGAAGAAGGCCUUCGGGUUGUAAAGUACUUUCAGCGGGGAGGAAGGGAGUAAAGUUAAUACCUUUGCUCAUUGACGUUACCCGCAGAAGAAGCACCGGCUAACUCCGUG